GCGCCUUAGAUCUGUUCGACUCAGGUGUCACUCGCUAGUCACGGCGGCCCAUCCCACGCUCGCAGGCAACCCGACCUCUCGCCGCGCCACCCUACCACCACGCCACCUUCCUCCUACCACCUCGUCACGCCGCGCAUCCUCUUCCCCCCUCCCCGCACCCUGCUAGGUACGUCGCAUCUUCACAAUUCUCCCAUCAGAAGAUUACUUGUUUGCAACAUCAGAACAAAAAUCUAUUGCGACAUCCGAACAAAGCAACUACAACAAUAGAAUAAAGCUACUGAAAUGCCAGAUGCAAGAUUAGAAAAAACUAAUUCAACAAAGAAGUAUCACUUAUUGCAACACCAGAACAAGGCUAUUGCAACAAAAAGAACAAAGCCCAAUGCGAGAAAUCAACAUCAGAGAAAAAAAUACUAAUGCAACCAAGAAAAAUUACUUGAUACAACAACAAAAUAAGGCUACGAAAACAAUAAAAACAAAAAUGCAAUGCGAGAUGCAACAUCAGAGAAAAGAGACUAAUGCAACAAAGAAAUAUUACUUGUUACAACAGCAAAACAAGGCUACUUCAACAAUAAAACAAAGCGCAAA
rnacentral:lncRNA from 1 species